GCAAGUCGAGCGAAGCGAUAGUAGCUUGCUACUAUUGACUGAGCGGCGGACGGGUGAGUAACGCGUGGGCAACCUACCUUACACAGGGGGAUAACACCGGGAAACUGGUGCUAAUACCGUAUGAAAUCAAACUACGGCAUCGUAGAAUGAUUAAAGGAGUAAUCCGGUGUAAGAUGGGCCCGCGUCCGAUUAGCUAGUUGGUAGGGUAAAAGCCUACCAAGGCGACGAUCGGUAGCCGAACUGAGAGGUUGAUC
rnacentral:rRNA from 1 species